GAUGAACGCUGGCGGCGUGCCUAAUACAUGCAAGUCGAGCGAACAGAUGAGGAGCUUGCUCCUCUGACGUUAGCGGCGGACGGGUGAGUAACACGUGGAUAACCUACCUAUAAGACUGGGAUAACUUCGGGAAACCGGCGCUAAUACCGGAUAAUAUAUUGAACCGCAUGGUUCAAUAGUGAAAGACGGUUUUGCUGUCACUUAUAGAUGGAUCCGCGCCGCAUUAGCUAGUUGGUAAGGUAACGGCUUACCAAGGCAACGAUGCGUAGCCGACCUGAGAGGCUGAUCGGCCACACUGGAACUGAGACACGGUCCAGACUCCUACGGGAGGCAGCAGUAGGGAAUCUGCCGCAAUGGGCGAAAGCCUGACGGAGCAACGCCGCGUGAGUGAUGAAGGUCUUCGGAUCGUAAAACUCUGUUAUUAGGGAAGAACAAAUGUGUAAGUAACUAUGCACGUCUUGACGGUACCUAAUCAGAAAGCCACGGCUAACUACGUG
rnacentral:rRNA from 1 species